rnacentral:rRNA from 1 species
AAUGAACGCUGGCGGCGCGCCUAAUACAUGCAAGUCGAGCGAGAAGACGUAGCAAUACGUUUGUAAAGCGGCGAACGGGUGAGGAAUACAUGGGUAACCUACCCUCGAGUGGGGAAUAACUAGCCGAAAGGUUAGCUAAUACCGCGUACGCUUCUUGGACUUCGGUUCAGGGAGGAAAGCGAUACCGUGGGUAUCGCGCUCUUGGAUGGGCUCAUGUCCUAUCAGCUUGUUGGGAGGUAACGGCUCACCAAGGCUUCGACGGGUAGCUGGUCUGAGAGGACGAUCAGCCACACUGGCACUGCGACACGGGCCAGACUCCUACGGGAGGCAGCAGUAAGGAAUAUUGCGCAAUGGGGCGAAAGCCUGACGCAGCGACGCCGCGUGGGGGAUGAAGGUCUUCGGAUUGUAAACCCC